rnacentral:rRNA from 1 species
UGGCUCAGGAUGAACGCUAGCUACAGGCUUAACACAUGCAAGUCGAGGGGCAGCAUGGUCUUAGCUUGCUAAGGCCGAUGGCGACCGGCGCACGGGUGAGUAACACGUAUCCAACCUGCCGUCUACUCUUGGACAGCCUUCUGAAAGGAAGAUUAAUACAAGAUGGCAUCAUGAGUCCGCAUGUUCACAUGAUUAAAGGUAUUCCGGUAGACGAUGGGGAUGCGUUCCAUUAGAUAGUAGGCGGGGUAACGGCCCACCUAGUCUUCGAUGGAUAGGGGUUCUGAGAGGAAGGUCCCCCACAUUGGAACUGAGACACGGUCCAAACUCCUACGGGAGGCAGCAGUGAGGAAUAUUGGUCAAUGGGCGAGAGCCUGAACCAGCCAAGUAGCGUGAAGGAUGACUGCCCUAUGGGUUGUAAACUUCUUUUAUAAAGGAAUAAAGUCGGGUAUGCAUACCCGUUUGCAUGUACUUUAUGAAUAAGGAUCGGCUAACUCCGUGCCAGCAGCCGCGGUAAUACGGAGGAUCCGAGCGUUAUCCGGAUUUAUUGGGUUUAAAGGGAGCGUAGAUGGAUGUUUAAGUCAGUUGUGAAAGUUUGCGGCUCAACCGUAAAAUUGCAGUUGAUACUGGAUAUCUUGAGUGCAGUUGAGGCAGGCGGAAUUCGUGGUGUAGCGGUGAAAUGCUUAGAUAUCACGAAGAACUCCGAUUGCGAAGGCAGCCUGCUAAGCUGCAACUGACAUUGAGGCUCGAAAGUGUGGGUAUCAAACAGGAUUAGAUACCCUGGUAGUCCACACGGUAAACGAUGAAUACUCGCUGUUUGCGAUAUACUGCAAGCGGCCAAGCGAAAGCGUUAAGUAUUCCACCUGGGGAGUACGCCGGCAACGGUGAAACUCAAAGGAAUUGACGGGGGCCCGCACAAGCGGAGGAACAUGUGGUUUAAUUCGAUGAUACGCGAGGAACCUUACCCGGGCUUAAAUUGCAGAUGAAUUACGGUGAAAGCCGUAAGCCGCAAGGCAUCUGUGAAGGUGCUGCAUGGUUGUCGUCAGCUCGUGCCGUGAGGUGUCGGCUUAAGUGCCAUAACGAGCGCAACCCUUGUUGUCAGUUACUAACAGGUUCCGCUGAGGACUCUGACAAGACUGCCAUCGUAAGAUGUGAGGAAGGUGGGGAUGACGUCAAAUCAGCACGGCCCUUACGUCCGGGGCUACACACGUGUUACAAUGGGGGGUACAGAGGGCCGCUACCACGCGAGUGGAUGCCAAUCCCAAAAACCUCUCUCAGUUCGGACUGGAGUCUGCAACCCGACUCCACGAAGCUGGAUUCGCUAGUAAUCGCGCAUCAGCCACGGCGCGGUGAAUACGUUCCCGGGCCUUGUACACACCGCCCGUCAAGCCAUGGGAGCCGGGGGUACCUGAAGUGCGUAACCGCGAGGAGCGCCCUAGGGUAAAACUGG